AAAUAGACAGAUUAGCAGAGCUCAAAAUUAGUUUAACUGAUAUAAACACCCAGCAUUGCUCAACUACUCAUUAACUUCAUGAGUGUGAACUGUGAUCACAGUUGAAAAUAAAUUAUAUCUGGAAAGCUGACAACUUCAUGAAAACUUUCCUAAACUGAGUAAUGUGUUGAAAUUUACUACGGCAUUUAAUUGCUUUAAUAUUUCAGGUACUGUGCCCUCUGACAGCUGUUUCUAAUUGAAUGAAUGACCCUUGUGAUACAGAUUUGGUAUUAUCAAGACUCAAGUCUUUCAAAUGCCCAAUUUGCUAUUAAUUUGGAGCAAUAAUCAAACCUACAGUAGAUGUAGGAGUUGGGGCAGUAUAGAAGUGGAAAGAAGGUUCAUUGCAAUUAGAUCCUUGCGUAGGUGACAUGCACGGAGAGAGUUAAAUGCAGUGACCGUGUGAAUCUUACUGAAAAUGUUCAAGACCUAGAGAAGAUCUGCAUGAUAUAAACCUUGAUAGAGGAGCCUUCUACAAAUUUGCUGGUCUUCCAUCUGAAUUACCUUACAGUGCGGGGAGUAGAUAAGAUGUUAUAUGACCUGAUAGUGGAUUGACUGCGAAUUGUCAAAAGUUUCUUUGUUUCUGCAGCUGGGAUGAACUGGGUGUUGUACAUUCAUAGAAUAGUAACCACAUGGAGAGAGAGCAUCUGGACCAUUGAGUCAAAAAUAAGAAACAAAAAACUCCUUGUCCCACCCUCUCCAAUAGUCCUACACAUACUUCCCCUUCAGACGAUCAUCCUGAUCAUUUAAAUUAUUCAAACAAAUCUACCUAACUAAAUGUUCAUGCCGAGAUAGCCAAGCUUUUUGUCACCUAGUUACUCACUCUUCCACAAGGGAGAACCUUGUUUUUCAAUAUUUUCUCUGUAUAGAUCUUCUGUGACACUAAAUCCAUCUUUCAGAUCCCCACAUCUUCCUGAGUCAAUUUCAGCAUCUUCAGAUAAUCAACACAGAAUACAGACAAAGUCCCUCAAGCAGGAAAAUGCAGAAGACCCAUUCAGCGGUUGAUCAGAUUACCAACUUAUGAGCAAUCUAUAUACUUCACCCUCUACCACACCAGUUUUUCUGCUCUUCUGUCAAUAUAUUUGCUACCUGGGAAUCAACAAUUAGAUUGUCUUCCAGUCUAUCCCCCAGCCUAGCUCAUUUUGGCAAUUUAACCCAGAAUAAAUCUUCUUGUAAUUUUACUCAUUUUGGAUAUAACCAGAUUUACCAGCUACACCAAGCACAAACUUCCUAAAAGUCCAUAAAAUAUAUGGCCUAAUUCUGGUCUUCCAGCUCAUCAAAUCUGCACCAUCAUGGCUGGUUUAUUAUUCCUCUCAACCCCAUUCUCCUGUCUGCUUCCUAUAACCCGUGACACCCUUAUCUAUCAACCAUCGAUGAAAAUAUACCCAAGAACUUUGCCUCUACAGCCACCUGUGGGAAUGAAUUUCACAGAUUCAACACCCUCUGGCUAAAGAAAUUCCUCCUUAUCUCUAUUCUAAAGGGACACUCUUCUAUUCUAAGGCUGGUCCUAGACUUUCCCAACAUAGGAAGCAUCACCUCACUAUGUCCACUCCCACUUCCCCCACUCUCUGAGGCCAAUGUCUCCAGUUCCAGCAACAUAUCUGCCUUUAAUAUUACAUUUUUUGCAAGUUUUCAUUGUCUCUGCCACAAACUUCAGCAAGUUUUCACUUCUAACUCUUCUAUCUUGGUUGUUCAAAAUUUUAUUAGUAACACCUGGACCCUCAGACAGCUGGAACGCUCUUUAAACACCUCUGACUCCAUACACAUGUAUGCCCCAAGUAAGAUUUCUACUGCUAUGCUGCGAAAUAUUUUUAUUUUAGCAGUUUCUGCAAAAGCAGUGUAUCCUGCUAUUAACAGUGUUUUGGCUUCGGCUAAAGACAAGGAGCCAUGUUGCCCAACUUUGGAAUAUUGUGUCAGUUAAUCAGGUCUGUCUGGAUACGCGUUGCCCAGUGGGAUUCAAGAGAAGAUUCCAGAGAGCUAGAUGGGACGAUAUUUCUGGAGGGCAGUAGUCUGGUUUGGGGUCUAUUGGCAGGUGGUGUGGAGAAAAGAGCACCAGAGAAGACGACCAGAGGAUCCCAUCCAAAGAGGAGACCCUAAUGCAAAGAGUGCUUUGCAAAACAAAGGAUUCCAAGAUGGAAAGUUCUAUCUGUGGCUGGUGAUGGGAAUUCAGUGCUAUGAGUAAAGUGAUACACCCAGCUACUACAGAAAUGAGCUCCAAAGCUUUGUGCACAUUUAGACUGGUUAACUGUAAUGAGCCCUUUUAUAUUUUUUCUUUCUUUUCCUAUUAAUUGUUUGAUAAAGUUGAGAAUUGGAAAAGAUACCAUUUUUGUAAUUUUAUACUGGUGUACAAUCUGUCAUCCCUUGGCAACUGAUAAUUGUGUAUGGUUUUAUGCGGCAUUUACUACACUCAACGUUCCUUAAUUGGAACAUCCCUACUUUCCGGUUUGGUUGAACCCCAAAUCAUACCGAUCCUAGAUAUAUUUUGCUUAUGUAAGAUUGCCUUCUCACCACUGAAUUACGCGGCUGUUAGCACAGUUAGCUAACAAGCCAAGAUGGGGUACAAGCCCCAGUGAGAGUGCUGCACAUAAUAAUAUAUUUUGUCAUUUUAUCAGGACAUGGUGAGGUUACUUGCUGUACUGUGUAAGCAUACAGCAUAUGUGUGAAAAAGACAAGGCAUACACUAUAGGUUGUAAGUGACAGUCAUUGUUAAAUUGAAUCUACAAAAAAGCCAGGAUUACAUUAAAGAGUUUCAUCUUUGAAAGUUUUGGAUGCAUUUCAAUGAUCAUGCAAUUUUGGUGUAUUUUCAUAUCUUAGCAUAACACUCACAAUUAACAAAGUAAUUUGGAUUAAAUAUAUUUAAAGUUGCACACGAGAAGUUGGAGGUUCAAUUGCUUCAAUAAAAGAUCAUUUAUUUAUGCCAAACAUACAGUGCAUACCCUUAAUCAUUCUUUCAGUUCUCAUGUACAGAUUGUGCUGCUCUUUAGUGAAUAUGAUAACAUUACUGACGAGCCAACAUCGAGGAUGCAGAGAUCUUGCAGCGCACUCUGCCAUAAGGCUUCCCAGAAUCCCAGUUCCCACCAACUUUCAUUGCUAGGCAAAGGUACUUUAAAACUAUUUUCAAAUAUUUAUUUUGUUUUCUUUUAAGUAACUAAAUUCUCUUUAAGAAUUAUUUGUUUUAAUUUUAAUGGCUUUUCAGACUCAAUGCUAGCAACAUCUUAAGAUUACUAGAAUCAGCAAUCCAACUCUGUCAGGGACAUUUGGGGAGGUGGUUCCACGUGCGGCCCAAGGCCUGGCCAUGAUUUAGCUGGAGUCAUUAAGGCAAGCUAUCACCAUCAGUCCCAAGUAAGCAUGAGAUUGAUAACAUCCCAAUAACAUAUCUGGGCAGGGGACCCAGUCCAAAGUGAUUUGUUCUUUAUUUACAGACUGAAUAUAGAACAGUACAGCAAAGUAACACAUGGCCAAUGGUCUACAUUAUCUGUGGUGAGGACCAAAAUUAAACUAAAUCUUUUCUGCCUGUACGUGAUCCACAUUCCUCCAUUCCUUCAUAUUCAUGCGUCUGUCUAACAGCUUCUUAUCAUAUCCCCUUCCACCACUGGCUCUGGCAGCCUGCUACGAGUACUCACCACUCUGGUAAGUAAAACUUUCCCUUCUCACCUGAAAUGUAUUUGGCAUUUCUACUGAGGAAAACUGAUUCUGACUGCCUACCCUAUUGAUUUCUCUUAAUCUUACCAUUUUCUAUCAGUCUUCUCUCUGUUUUUGAUGCUCUAGGGAAAACAACCCUUCUAGUGCGGCCUCGCCUAUGUUUUAUAUAGCUGCACCAUUACUUCCCUGCUCUUACAAUCAAUGUACCGAACAAGGAAGGCAAUCAUGUCAUAUGCCUUUUUUAAAAAGCACUGUCUACUAAUGUAGACACUCUCAUGGAGCUAAGGACUAAGAGUCGAAAACCCCUCUAUACACCUAUGCUAUAUAAAGCCUUGAUAUUAUCAGCAUAAUUUCCGUUUGAACUCCCUAAGACAAACACGAUACACAUCCCAAAUUAAAUUUCUCCUCUAUACAUGCAUUUGUAACUGAUCUAUAUUCUGCUGUAUCCCUUUGACAACCUUCACUGACCACAACAUGAUAUAUUUCACAAACAGAGGUCCUGCACAAACUGAUCCCUGCUCAUCUCCACUGGUCACAGUCCUCCAGCCAUGAUAGCACCCCUGUCCUACUACCCUCUGUCUUCUAAGUAAAAGCUAAUUUCAAAUCCAAAAUAACAAUGGUGCGUGUCCCAUGCAAUUUAUCACAUGGUCAAGUGCCCGACUAAAAUCUGUGUAAACAACAUCCACAUAGUUUUCUAAAUGUGAGUAAAGAACCCUCUCCAAUAGCUUUCCUACCAAUGACAUAAUUUCUUGUAGUACUUCACUUCUCUUCUACAAAAGAUUUGCUACUUUCCAGUCUUCUGGGACUUCACACACAAUAUUUUGUCAAGAUUCUAGCAAACUCGCUUCCAUCUUUCAUUAAACUGCAAUAUAUCCCUUCAGUCCUGGGGACGUAUUCACCUUCAUGCUCUUUAAAAAGACUCAGUACCACCACCUCAUGGUGUCAAAAUGACCUGGUAUAUUUGCAUACCCCGCAAUGCUCUCACUAAUCUUCGUAUCCUCAACUAAAGUGCACAUUUAGCACUUCACCAAUAUCCCUUGAUUCCAGGCAAAAACUCCCUCCAUUAUCCUUGAGUGCUUCUACCUUCUCCCUAGUUAUAUUCUUGUAUUCAACGUGAGCGUAAAAUGCUUUCAGAUUCUUUUUAAUCCCACUUGCCAAGAACAUUUUAUUAGCCCUUUUGGCCUUCUUAAUCCCUUGCUUGAUAGCUUUCCUGUUUCCUCAAGGCACCUGUCUGAUUUUAGCUUCCUAAAGCUUAGAUAAGUUUUCUUUUACUUUUUGACUAAAUUCAUAAUCUCUUAUCAUCCAAUGACCUCUUAGCUUUCUAACUUGUCUGUCUUUAUUGGACCAUGUCCAUCCUGAGCUCUGAUCAGCUGGUCCUUAAACAUCUCCCACAUGUCACAUGUAAACAUACUCAAAAACAGUUCUUCACAACUAACUCUCCCAUCUCCUGUCUAAUAGUUUUUUUUCAUCCCCAAAUUUAGUAAUUUAUUUGUUUUACACUUAUCCUUAUUCAUAACUACCUUAAAAUUGAAUUGUUAUUACUAUUCCCAAAAUGCUUUCCCACUAAAAGGCCAGUAACAUGGUAAUGCUCAUUCUCUAAAACAAGGUCCAAUACGGUACCACUUCUAGAUGGACUAUCCUUGUACACUGUUUAAAACAGCCCUCUUAGAUGCACCUACAAAUUUUCCCCCAUCUGAGUCCCUUGCACUAAGGACUCCCAGUCAAUAUUGGGCAAGUUAAAAUCAUCUACCACGACACCGCUGCUGCAUUUACAUCUUUCCAUAAGAUGUCAAUAUAUACUCAGUGACCACUAUAUUAGGUACACCUGCCCAUUAAUGAAAAUAUCUAAUUAGACAAUCAUUUGGCAGCAACUCAAUGCAAAACCACAUGCAGACAUGGUCAAGAGGUUCAGUUGUUGUUCAGAACAAACAUCAGAAUGGAGAAGAAAUGUGAUCUAAUUUACUUUGACCGUGGAAUGAUUGCUGGUGCCAGAUGGGGAGGUUUAGGUAUCUCAGUAAAUGCUGAACUCCUGGAGUGUUCAUGCACGAAAGUCUCAAGAGUUUAUGAAGAAUGGUGCGAAAAACAGAAAAAAAAUCCAGUGAGCAACUGUUAUUGUGAGUGAAAAUGCCGUGUUAAUGAUAGAGGUCAGAGGAGAAUGGUUCAGCUAACAGGAAGACAACAGUAACUCAAAUAACCAUACAUUAUAACUGGUGUGUGGAAGAACAUCUCUGAAUACACAAUAUAUUGAACCUUGAAAUGGAUGGACGAUAGCAGAAGACCACAGCGGGCUUCACUUCUGUACCUGAUACAGAGUGUAGUUCUUCAUAUCACAUUGAUUCCAGGAAUGGCAAAUGUAAUGAACCAAUGGUUUUCAGUACUUUUGGAAUGAGAGACUUGCUGGAGAGUUAAAACAAUGCACAAAUCAUCCAAGAUUUUGGUAAGACAAGGCAAUGUGACCUUGAAAACCAUCUCUUUAGCAUCAUGGGCAAUUUCAAUACAUUCAAGCAUAUAACUGAUGGGCAUUAGGGAAUCCAGGUAAUUAAGGAAUAUGGGAAAGUAUUGGUAAGUGGAGUUGAUGUAGAAAGUUGGGCUUUGUUAUUAAACUGAAGGAUGGUCUCAUGGCUGAAUGUUUGCAUUUCUUAACUUUUACACAAUAUGCAAUAUUAAAGCAGGACAUUCAUGCUCAGCAUCCAAUCUUCAUUCUCCAUUACCCAAUUUCCCUGAUAAUCUCAACUUCCUAUCCUAUGUUUACCCUUUCAGCUACACCAUACAGAUGUCAAGGUUCUCUAAUAUGGAGUGCACAUUUUCCCAUCUUAGCUUACCUCGCAGCACAAAUACCUAAGACCAGUGGACAUAUAUUGAAGGUGAAGAGCAGUUGGUUUGGAGGGGAUCUUGAGGAGAUAUUUUUCACUCCAACAGACAUUGUAGUCUGAGACAUAACACCUAACAAAGUAGUGAAUCAGGUAAUCUCACAGUAUUUUUGGAGAAUCUAGAUGAGUUGUUCAAAUUUCAAACAUACAGUAUGCCAUGGAUCACCUGCUGAUAAAUAAGAUUAGUACAAACAGAUCGAUGUUUGACAUGGGCUCAGUGGGUCACAGGCAUGAUUCUGCAAUGGAUGAUCUGUGACUCAGACACAAAUAUUCUAAUUAAGCUAUAGGCAUACCACCAACUAUUUGUUUAAAAUCUCUACUUAACAUGCCUCAUUGAAAUCUACAUAUUUUAACCCUUCACCAAUGUUUUUAUCCUCAAGGCAAAUGGGUGCCCAGGAAGGUAUUCACACUAGGGUCAGUGUUGGACAGCUUCUCUUCAACAACUGACAACCAUUGAAAAUUCUCUGUUUUUUUUCCACUAAUGUGAUAUUUGUCUUGCAAAACUGAACCUAUCUGUGGCUGAAUCAGUCACACCAUAUGCUACUGUCCAAUGAGAUCACAUCAUCUCUGCUAAAAUUUAAAAUAGCCUUUGUAAGCUUUUGUUUUCAUUUAGAUUGGAGAGUAAUGGCACAUUCCACCCAUCAAACCCAAUGAUGACACAUUUCCUGCCUACUUCCCUUCACAGGAUUCUCCCUUGAGAACACUAUCAAUUCACAUGACAUAGGACACCCCAUCACUGUUGCUGGUUUAUUAUUGUGUCUGGUUUGCUCACUACCACUGUUCUACUUUGGGUGUCAGUGUUUGGUUUUCUUCCCUUCCCUGCUCGGUUGCCUCCUGCUUCCUGGUUCUCUCUGUUCCUCAAGAAGCCUCUGUCCUCAGUCACUGUUUUUUACUUACAAAAGCAAAAAAUGAAAGCUAGUUGUUGGUUCCCGUUUCUUUCACUUGUGACUGUUCUUCACUGUAUAUGCUAACCUUCCUUCCCUGGCCCAUUUCCCACUUCCUCUUCCUUUGUAAGCCUUGAGAGCUUCAAUGUUUGGUUGGAUUUACAGUAAUAGCUAACUCAUCAUGAGCCUACGAUGAGAAGGUUCCACUUAUUUUUUUAUGUAUUUGAACAGUAUGUCUUCCUUUGCACAUUAGUGGUUUGUUAGACUUUGUGCGUAGUUUUUCCAUUUAUAUUAUAUUUCUUUGUUCUACAGUGAAUGCCUGCUAGAAAAUGAAUCUCAAGAAUUCCUUUGAAGACCCUGACCUGAAGUUACACGCUGACUUUGGUUCUUUGCAGUAAUGGGACCCACUCUCAGGGUUUCACGACUGGCUGUUAUUCGACAUGCCAAGGAUGUGACUUAGGAGAUUUGCUCGCCUUUGGAGUUCCAGGAUCUCAAGGCUCUGGAGACAGGUGGACUGAAGGUCGGUGCUUCUGCAGGAAUUCGGUGUGUCAUGGGAGACAGAAGAUCGAAAGCAGCAAAAUGGCUGGAUGGCGAGAGACCUGAGUUGUUUGGGCACAGAGCUCAGAGAAGCAACACAAUGGACUUUUAACAUCAUAAAUCAGCAAGUUGUUUGUUAUGUCUUCCCUCUCGGGGAGGGAGACAGAGGGAGACGGGGAGGGGGGGGGGAGAGAGAGAGAGAGAGAGAGAGAGAGAGAGAGAGAGACACAAUGGUAAGUGGAAUACCGGGUGAACGAGUAGUCUUUGGGAUACUGCAGGUCUGUGUCUUUGCUGCACGCUUGAGUGGUCAGUCUUGGGUGCCCAUGCUCUUUUUAUUUGCUGGUGGAGGGAGGGGGGAUCAUUGCUUUGC